rnacentral:rRNA from 2 species
AGAGUUUGAUCAUGGCUCAGGACGAACGCUGACGGUGUGCUUUAGGCAUGCAAGUCGAACGAGAAAGCCCUUCGGGGUGAGUAAAGUGGCGAACGGGUGAGUAACACGUGGGCAACCUGCCCCUCGCAGGGGGACAACCGGAGGAAACUCCGGCUAAUACCCCGUACGCUUGUUGGAUCGCAUGGUCCGGCAAGGAAAGGUAGCUUCGGCCAUCCGGCGAGGGAUGGGCCCGCGUUGCAUUAGCUAGUUGGUGAGGUAAUGGCUCGCCAAGGCGACGAUCAGUAGCUGGUCUGAGAGGAUGAUCAGCCACAUUGGGACUGAGACACGGCCCAAACUCCUACGGGAGGCAGCAGUGGGGAAUAUUGGACAAUGGGCGCAAGCCUGAUCCAGCCAUGCCGCGUGAGUGAUGAAGGCCUUAGGGUUGUAAAGCUCUUUCGGCGGGGACGAUAAUGACGGUACCCGCAGAAGAAGCCCCGGCUAACUUCGUGCCAGCAGCCGCGGUAAUACGAAGGGGGCUAGCGUUGUUCGGAAUCACUGGGCGUAAAGGGCGCGUAGGCGGCUUGAUAAGUCGGGGGUGAAAGCCUGUGGCUCAACCACAGAAUUGCCUUCGAUACUGUCUGGCUUGAGACCGGAAGAGGUAAGUGGAACUGCGAGUGUAGAGGUGAAAUUCGUAGAUAUUCGCAAGAACACCAGUGGCGAAGGCGGCUUACUGGUCCGGUUCUGACGCUGAGGCGCGAAAGCGUGGGGAGCAAACAGGAUUAGAUACCCCGGUAGUCC